CAAGAAUUGCUUAACUAUUCUUGGCCCUUUGUGGUUUCAUGUAAAUUUAGUACCAGAUUUUCAUUUUGGGUGUGUGAAUCCCGAAUAUCUGGGACAGAGCUCAGUUAAUUUAGAAAGUUUAUUUUGCCGAUGUUGAGGACAGACGCUCAUGACACAGCCUCAGAAGGUCCUGAUGACUUGUGGCUAAGAUGAUCAGGGCACAGCUUGGUUUUAUACAUUUUAGGAAGACAUGAGACAUCAAUCAAUAUAUGUAAGAUAUACAUUGGUAUCAACCAGAAAGACAGAGUCUUGCUCUGUUGCCAGAUUGGAGUGAAGUGGCGCGAUCUCAGCUCACUGCACCCUCUGACUCCCUGAUUCAAGUGAUGCUCCUGCCUCAGACUCCCAAGUAUUUCCUAUAUCUUCCUGUCUUUUCCAUGGCCAAAAAUGAUCAAGUAAAGAACAUUAAAGAAGAAAUAAAUUACUACAUAUUAAAAAAUACAUACUGUAAGAUGUUCUUUGUACAAAAAUGUGACAACUUCAAUAAGAGUAACUUGGACAACCUGAGGCAUUAAUUGAGGAUCAAUAUGAUGACUUUACAUUGAGAAUCACAUAUACCCUCUGAAUAAAUUUAAAAAAUGAAAUUUUUUAAUUUUCAUUAAAAAUUAAAUUUUUUUGAGUGAUGAAAAUACUCAAUCACAUUAUUUUCAAAUUGUUGAUAAGCAUGGAAAUUAUCAGAGAACCAGAAUAUUCAAGGUUUAUCUUUCCUGUUUUUGUCUUAAAUCACAACUAUGUGUUAAAUAAUUUGUAUGACCUAUUUCAGUGGCAGUAGGUUAAAUAAAAUUCUGUUUGUAUCUCCUGUUUUUUGUUUUAAAUUUAUUAUUAUUAUGCUUUAAGUUUUAGGGUACAUGUGCACAAUGUGCAGCUUAGUUACAUAUGUAUACAUGUACCAUGCUGGUGCGCUGCACCCACUAACUUGUCACACACGUAAUGUAUCUCCUGUUUUUGUGCUUCUCAAAUUGAAGUCACUGAAUCCUCAAGAAUUCAU
rnacentral:lncRNA from 10 species